UUCCGGCUGAAGAGUCACACAUAAGACGAAACACACGUCCUGGAU
rnacentral:hammerhead_ribozyme from 1 species